rnacentral:rRNA from 1 species
CACCUCUUCCCAUUCCGAACAGAGAAGUUAAGCCCGUUAGCGCCGAUGGUACUGCUAUCAUUGUGGGAGAGUAGGUCGCCGCCUUCU